UCCUUAUAGCGACACUAUUAAAUCCUUAUGUCACUUUGUUUGUUGUCAGACUACAGUGGUAGAAAGCCUACUUGUAUAUAUUGUGGUUGUGGUAGGUUGUGCACAUCUUUUUUAACUGCAUAUGUUGUUGCAACAUGAUAUAUCAAGCAGGGCAGCAGCAUACCCACUACUUGCAUUCUUGUGAACGACUUCUUUUAUGGCAUGUUUGAUAGGGUGAGGUUUGGGGUGUGGGUUUAAAAUUAUAAAGAAGUAAUGGUGUCGGUAUUUUAAAGGAGAGCUGUGUCUGUUAGAUUUCGACCUUGAUUUAUUGGAAAUGUAAGAACUUGGAGGAAGUUUUGUUGCUGUUGUUGCUUGAAUUUGUACUGAAGUUCAUGAGGUGUUGCUGAAGAAUAACCAAGGAUUUAGAGGCCUGUUACACCAGCCAUGAUGUUUCACUGUCCGGGAUUUCACUAUGACUUGGAUAUUUACACCAAAGUCAUCACAUACUUGGGCUUUUCUAUUCUUUUCCCAGACAGCAUUUAAAGAUUCUAGUUUCCUAGAUGGUACCCAACUUUCUUAUCACUUUAUUUUGAGUGGCAAUAUAAUAAGAAGAACAUUUCAACUUUUACUAUUAAUCUUCAUUAUAUCUUCAGUGAUCUUCUUCAUCCUCCCAAUCCACCCCUUUUAGUUAUGGCAGACAACAGUUCUGUCCCAGAGGUAGGAGAAGGACCUGCUCUUCCUCCAUGUCUUAUGAAGGCCGAGGUCUCAUGGAUGUCCACCGUGAGGGGUAAUCUGUCAUAGGAAGAACGUAUAUUGAGAAGAGUUAGAGGUAUAGUAAACAAACUGACAGUGGAGAAAUACACACGGCUGAAGUUCAUGAUCUGCGAUCUUCUGGAUCUUCGGGAAAACAAAUGGGUCGGUCCUCAGAGCCAUAAGGUCAAAGAUAAGACGAUUGCUGAAUUAAUCAUUGCUUCACAGGCAGAGCUUCUUUCCAGCCUGCAUCUAAGUGCAAGUAUUACCACGAGUACGAGGAAUCGUCGGGCAGUACAACUCCGUCACAUGAAUCGACAUCACCCCGACUGCUGGUAAAGCAAUGUUGAUUCGGAAUGAAAACUUGCAGUUGGCGAUUAAUCAACCUUGUACAGCUAUCUAUGUGUUUGUGUUUGUUUGGGACCUUUACGAUGAACAAUUUUUGCAUUGUGAUGAUCUGGUAGAAUGCCCACUUGUAUAUAUUACUGGUUGUGAAGAUGCAAUAUCCGAAGUUAUUAUCAUUA